CCGGCGAUGUCCGAAUGGGGAAACCCAGUGCAAUUCGUUGCACUAUCGUUAACUGAAUACAUAGGUUAACGAGGCGAACCGGGGGAACUGAAACAUCUAAGUACCCCGAGGAAAAGAAAUCAACCGAGAUUCCCCCAGUAGCGGCGAGCGAACGGGGAGCAGCCCAGAGUCUGAAUCAGCUUGUGUGUUAGUGGAACGGUCUGGAAAGUCCGACGGUACAGGGUGAUAGUCCCGUACACCAAAAUGCACAGGCUGUGAACUCGAAGAGUAGGGCGGGACACGUGGUAUCCUGUCUGAAUAUGGGGGGACCAUCCUCCAAGGCUAAAUACUCCUGACUGACCGAUAGUGAACCAGUACCGUGAGGGAAAGGCGAAAAGAACCCCGGCGAGGGGAGUGAAAAAGAACCUGAAACCGUGUACGUACAAGCAGUGGGAGCACCUUCGGGUGUGACUGCGUACCUUUUGUAUAAUGGGUCAGCGACUUAUAUUCUGUAGCAAGGUUAACCGUAUAGGGGAGCCGCAGGGAAACCGAGUCUUAACUGGGCGUUAAGUUGCAGGGUAUAGACCCGAAACCCGGUGAUCUAGCCAUGGGCAGGUUGAAGGUUGGGUAACACUAACUGGAGGACCGAACCGACUAAUGUUGAAAAAUUAGCGGAUGACUUGUGGCUGGGGGUGAAAGGCCAAUCAAACCGGGAGAUAGCUGGUUCUCCCCGAAAGCUAUUUAGGUAGCGCCUCGUGAAUUCAUCUUCGGGGGUAGAGCACUGUUUCGGCUAGGGGGUCAUCCCGACUUACCAACCCGAUGCAAACUACGAAUACCGAAGAAUGUUAUCACGGGAGACACACGGCGGGUGCUAACGUCCGUCGUGAAGAGGGAAACAACCCAGACCGCCAGCUAAGGUCCCAAAGUCAUGGUUAAGUGGGAAACGAUGUGGGAAGGCACAGACAGCCAGGAUGUUGGCUUAGAAGCAGCCAUCAUUUAAAGAAAGCGUAAUAGCUCACUGGUCGAGUCGGCCUGCGCGGAAGAUGUAACGGGGCUAAACCAUGCACCGAAGCUGCGGCAGCGACACUAUGUGUUGUUGGGUAGGGGAGCGUUCUGUAAGCCUGCGAAGGUGGCCUGUGAGGGUUGCUGGAGGUAUCAGAAGUGCGAAUGCUGACAUAAGUAACGAUAAAGCGGGUGAAAAGCCCGCUCGCCGGAAGACCAAGGGUUCCUGUCCAACGUUAAUCGGGGCAGGGUGAGUCGACCCCUAAGGCGAGGCCGAAAGGCGUAGUCGAUGGGAAACAGGUUAAUAUUCCUGUACUUGGUGUUACUGCGAAGGGGGGACGGAGAAGGCUAUGUUAGCCGGGCGACGGUUGUCCCGGUUUAAGCAUGUAGGCUGGUUGUCCAGGCAAAUCCGGAUAAUCAAGGCUGAGGUGUGAUGACGAGGCACUACGGUGCUGAAGUAACAAAUGCCCUGCUUCCAGGAAAAGCCUCUAAGCAUCAGGUAACAUUAAAUCGUACCCCAAACCGACACAGGUGGUCAGGUAGAGAAUACCAAGGCGCUUGAGAGAACUCGGGUGAAGGAACUAGGCAAAAUGGUGCCGUAACUUCGGGAGAAGGCACGCUGGUGUGUAGGUGAAGCCCCUGCGGGUGGAGCUGAGACCAGUCGAAGAUACCAGCUGGCUGCAACUGUUUAUUAAAAACACAGCACUGUGCAAACACGAAAGUGGACGUAUACGGUGUGACGCCUGCCCGGUGCCGGAAGGUUAAUUGAUGGGGUUAUCCGUAAGGAGAAGCUCUUGAUCGAAGCCCCGGUAAACGGCGGCCGUAACUAUAACGGUCCUAAGGUAGCGAAAUUCCUUGUCGGGUAAGUUCCGACCUGCACGAAUGGCGUAAUGAUGGCCAGGCUGUCUCCACCCGAGACUCAGUGAAAUUGAACUCGCUGUGAAGAUGCAGUGUACCCGCGGCAAGACGGAAAGACCCCGUGAACCUUUACUAUAGCUUGACACUGAACAUUGAGCCUUGAUGUGUAGGAUAGGUGGGAGGCUUUGAAGCGUGGACGCCAGUCUGCGUGGAGCCAACCUUGAAAUACCACCCUUUAAUGUUUGAUGUUCUAACGUUGGCCCCUGACCGGGGUUGCGGACAGUGUCUGGUGGGUAGUUUGACUGGGGCGGUCUCCUCCCAAAGCGUAACGGAGGAGCACGAAGGUUAGCUAAUCCUGGUCGGACAUCAGGAGGUUAGUGCAAUGGCAUAAGCUAGCUUGACUGCGAGCGUGACGGCGCGAGCAGGUGCGAAAGCAGGUCAUAGUGAUCCGGUGGUUCUGAAUGGAAGGGCCAUCGCUCAACGGAUAAAAGGUACUCCGGGGAUAACAGGCUGAUACCGCCCAAGAGUUCAUAUCGACGGCGGUGUUUGGCACCUCGAUGUCGGCUCAUCACAUCCUGGGGCUGAAGUAGGUCCCAAGGGUAUGGCUGUUCGCCAUUUAAAGUGGUACGCGAGCUGGGUUUAGAACGUCGUGAGACAGUUCGGUCCCUAUCUGCCGUGGGCGCUGGAGAAUUGAGGGGGGCUGCUCCUAGUACGAGAGGACCGGAGUGGACGCAUCACUGGUGUUCGGGUUGUCAUGCCAAUGGCACUGCCCGGUAGCUAAAUGCGGAAGAGAUAAGUGCUGAAAGCAUCUAAGCACGAAACUUGCCCCGAGAUGAGUUCUCCCUGAGACUUUAAGUCUCCUGAAGGAACGUUAAAGACGAUGACGUUGAUAGGCCGGGUGUGUAAGCGCAGCGAUGCGUUGAGCUAACCGGUACUAAUGAACCGUGAGGCUUAACCUUACAACGCCGAAG
rnacentral:rRNA from 1 species